rnacentral:tRNA from 1 species
GGGCCCGUAGCUCAACUGGCAGAGCAUCUCCCUCUUAAGGAGGUGGUUGAGAGUUCGAUUCUCUCCGGGCUCA